rnacentral:rRNA from 1 species
UACGUAGGGUGCGAGCGUUAAUCGGAAUUACUGGGCGUAAAGCGUGCGCAGGCGGUUCGCCAAAGUCAGGUGUGAAAUCCCCGGGCUUAACCUGGGAAUUGCGCUUGAAACUAGCGGGCUUGAGUGUGGCAGAGGGGGGUGAAAUUCCACGUGUAGCAGUGAAAUGCGUAGAGAUGUGGAGGAACACCGAUGGCGAAGGCAGCCCCCUGGGUCAACACUGACGCUCAUGCACGAAAGCGUGGGGAGCAAACAGG